GCCCUUCGAAUCACACAGGACUAAAAGGAGCAGGUAUCAAGCACACACUCUUGUAGCUCACAACGCCUUGCUUAACCACACCCCCACGGGAGACAGCAGUAACAAAAAUUAAGCCAUAAACGAAAGUUUGACUAAGUCAUAUUGACCAGGGUUGGUAAAUCUCGUGCCAGCCACCGCGGUCAUACGAUUGACCCAAGCUAACAGGAGUACGGCGUAAAGCGUGUUAAAGCAUCAUACUAAAUAGAGUUAAAUUUUAAUUAAACUGUAAAAAGCCAUAAUUAUAACAAAAAUAAAUGACGAAAGUAACCCUACAAUAGCUGAUACACCAUAGCUAAGACCCAAACUGGGAUUAGAUACCCCACUAUGCUUAGCCCUAAACACAAAUAAUUAUAAAAACAAAAUUAUUCGCCAGAGUACUACCGGCAACAGCCCGAAACUCAAAGGACUUGGCGGUGCUUUAUACCCUUCUAGAGGAGCCUGUUCUAUAAUCGAUAAACCCCGAUAAACCUCACCAAUCCUUGCUAAUACAGUCUAUAUACCGCCAUCUUCAGCAAACCCUAAAAAAGGGACAAAAGUAAGCUCAAUAAUAACACAUAAAGACGUUAGGUCAAGGUGUAACCUAUGGAGUGGGAAGAAAUGGGC
rnacentral:rRNA from 1 species